UUUUCUGUAUGAAGAGUAGAAUGAGAUGAGAAUAUAUUUGGAAUCAGAAAAUAUAAAUAAGUACCAAGUGUGUAUGAGUGGGAGAUGUUUGAAUUCGUCCGUAUUAGGACUUAUCUAAAAUAUUUCUAAUCCAUAUGGAAUAAGGAAUAAAUAUUGGUACUUAUCUAAAAUGUUCCUAGACCACAUGGGAUAAGGAAUAAAUCUAAGAGAUAGAAUUUCCUAAUCUAUUUAAAUUUCUAUUUGUGUAAGACUCAGUCAGAAUAGGAUUAGGAUUAAUGUCUCCUUUAUGGCCUAUAAAUACAUCAGGUAUUGGCCAUAUACAAGAUGCAAAAAAAAGUUCGAAUAAUCUCUCCAAAAAAAAUUCUCUCUAUCGGGUUCGCUUUAGGGCAUCAUCAGAAUCCCUAGGGAUUUUGGGCGGUGUGCUAUACGAUCAAUUCUAGUAGCCGGAUUACAAUGAGCAAGAAUAACGUGCAACAAAUUGAGACAGGUUGUUGGCGAAUCAACGAGUUCGUAAAACAAGACGAGAUCCGAUCGUGGUAAUCGUAAUGCAUUUUGCAGUGAAAGAGAUAUGUGAAAAUCUAAUUGAUUUUUGCGCUUUGAUUUGGCUAUUAUUUUUUUCCAACAGAAAUGUAAUUGAGAGCAAGUUGUAUUUUGAGGAAUUUAUGUAAUGUAUAAAGUGGAGAAAUGUAUGUAAAAUGUGAAUGAUCCAAGUGUUGUAAUAGCUAGGUUUAAAUUCUCGCUUUUGUGAUUUGCUCUCGUGCAAAACUAUAUUACGUUAUUUUUUCCGUGUGAAAUUUAAUGUACUUGUUUUGUUUAUGUCUUGGGCAAAUAGGAGAAACUUUGUUCGUCCAGCGAUCUGUGUACGU
rnacentral:lncRNA from 1 species